UUCUCAUUAGUUUUCCGGCUCUCGUUCAGGCAACAACUAAAAAUUAUUUUCGGGAAAAAAAAAAUGUGAAAAUUAUUUGAGUAAAAAAAUUUGUGUGUAAAAAUGUUUACGCGAGUUCAAAAAUUUUGUUUGUGAAAGUUUCACAAGUGUUAAAAUUAUUAUUCGUAAAUCCUAAUUCCAAUGAUGGCUAAAAGUAUCUCCACACAAUUUAGCAAAUACUCCAUACUCCAAACUAUACAAACUAUACAAACUACACAAACUACACAAUUUACACUUUAAGCUACACAGUCCACACUCAUCGAACCGCAUUUCUAUCUACCAGACUCUUAUACACAAACUACACUUCGAUAAGCAUAUACAUAUGUAUAAGCAUACUUCUUAUACGCUAAUCUGCACACUUAUACACUGAUCUGCACACUUAUCUACACUCUAUGCCAAUCUGCAGAGUUAUUUGCACUACGCCAAUCUGCAGAGUUAUAUGCACUCUACGCCAAUCUGCAAUCUUAUUUCCAUCCCACACCAAUCUGCAAAACCAACCUAACCUACACUCUACGCACUGGAGGCAAUUAAGCAAAGCAAAUGAAAAAUGGUCGAUUUGAACCAAGUCAAUACUCAAAGGAUACGUGUUUAGCCAUAUGUUUGGAAUUAGGGUAAAAGUUUACAAGUUUCGCAACGCAAUCGUCUAUUUGGGGUGGAUGCAGCAAUAAUGAUUUCUACAGAUACGGGUUAUGUUUUAAAGAAAGCCAUACACAGAAUGGCUUUUCUUUCACUUAAUACAAAUUAAUACCGAAGGACCAGCUGGGAUUAGUCAACACAAGUUAUUUUUCAAAGUUCCAUGUUAAAAAAGAUAUAAUAAAAAAGAUGUCUGAUUGUGAUUAUUAUUAACACUCAAUUAUUGUGUCAUAAUUUUUAAGGGGGGCUUAUAGGGGUUGAAUCCAGUGUUGCUUUUCCCCUUGAAGAACUGCCGCUGACAUUUUCAUUUCAUUUGACAGUUUUUUCAUGGCCAAGCAUGACCAAGAUAAAUUUUAUCUUAUUUUAUGUUUGGAUACGGCUCUCCCUUUUUAAAAAACUGGAAAAUCUUAGUAGCCCUAUUCUUUGGUAGAUCAGGCAUAUUCGAAAUGAGAUUUUCGUCAGUCUGUUUCCAUUCCUGUUCCCGUCAACAUCUAUAUUUUUUGUUAAAUUUUCGUUCUAUGUUCCUAUCGUAGUAUGCCCUGCCAGGUAUAAUCAAAAGAAAGAGUUACCCAAAACCAGAGCCGGCACCUAUUUCCGUGAAGAAGUGGCGAAUAUUCGGCGACAGGAUGUGUGGUGGCGGCUGUUAUCCUUGCUGCAGCCCCUGCUGUGGUCCCUGCUGCAGUCCAUGCUGCAGCCCCUGCUGUGGUCCCUGCUGCAGUCCAUGCUGUAGCCCCUGCUGCAGCCCCUGCUGCUCCCCCUGCUGUUCACCAUGCUGCUCCCCCUGCUGCUUUCCAUGCUGUUAUCCCUGUGGAGGCUGUGGUCCGGGCUGUUGCUGAUGUUCCACGGCCACUUCUUUAGAAAGAAAUCCAGGUGCUGGGUUCUGGUUCAGCCAAAUUGAUGGAUGGAAACAGCUAUGCAAUAGAAUCAAAACAAGAAAUAUGUAAAACCAUAAAAAAAAACGUCAAUUUAGUCUUAGUCUUAGGAUACAAACAUAACAAGUGAAAAAAAUCAACAAAAAAAA